rnacentral:rRNA from 1 species
GAUGAACGCUGGCGGCGUGCCUAAUACAUGCAAGUCGAGCGAACGGACGAGAAGCUUGCUUCUCUGAUGUUAGCGGCGGACGGGUGAGUAACACGUGGAUAACCUACCUAUAAGACUGGGAUAACUUCGGGAAACCGGAGCUAAUACCGGAUAAUAUUUUGAACCGCAUGGUUCAAAAGUGAAAGACGGUCUUGCUGUCACUUAUAGAUGGAUCCGCGCUGCAAUAGCUAGUUGGUAAGGUAACGGCUUACCAAGGCAACGAUGCAUAGCCGACCUGAGAGGGUGAUCGGCCACACUGGAACUGAGACACGGUCCAGACUCCUACGGGAGGCAGCAGUAGGGAAUCUUCCGCAAUGGGCGAAAGCCUGACGGAGCAACGCCGCGUGAGUGAUGAAGGUCUUCGGAUCGUAAAACUCUGUUAUUAGGGAAGAACAUAUGUGUAAGUAACUGUGCACAUCUUGACGGUACCUAAUCAGAAAGCCACGGCUAACUACGUG